GAUGAACGCUGGCGGCGUGCUCAACACAUGCAAGUCGAACGAGAAAUGUAGACGGAAACCUUCGGGCGGAAGCCUUCAUUUCGAGUGGCGGACGGGUGAGUAACGCGUGGGUAACCUGCCUCAUACAGGGGGAUAACAGUUGGAAACGACUGUUAAUACCGCAUAAGACCACAGCAUCGUAUGAUGCGGUGGUAAAAACGCUGGUGGUAUGAGAUGGACCCGCGUUCGAUUAGCCAGUUGGCGGGGUAACGGCCCACCAAAGCGACGAUCGAUAGCCGAGCUGAGAGGAUGACCGGCCACAUUGGGACUGAGACACGGCCCAAACUCCUACGGGAGGCAGCAGUGGGGAAUAUUGCACAAUGGGGGAAACCCUGAUGCAGCGACGCCGCGUGAGUGAAGAAGUACUGCGGUAUGUAAAGCUCUAUCAGCAGGGAAGAAAAUGACGGUACCUGAGUAAGAAGCCCCGGCUAACUACGUG
rnacentral:rRNA from 1 species